ACGUAGGGGCCGAGCGUUGUCCGGAGUUACUGGGCGUAAAGCGCGCGCAGGCGGCCACUUAAGCCCGGCGUGAAAGCCCCCGGCUCAACCGGGGAGGGUCGUCGGGGACUGGGUGGCUUGAGGACGGCAGGGGCUGGUGGAAUCCCCGGUGUAGUGGUGAAAUGCGUAGAGAUCGGGGGGAACACCCGUGGCGAAGGCGGCCAGCUGGGCCGGUCCUGACGCUGAGGCGCGAAGGCGUGGGGAGCGAACGGGA
rnacentral:rRNA from 1 species